AACGAACGCUGGCGGCAUGCCUAACACAUGCAAGUCGAACGAAGCCUUCGGGCUUAGUGGCGCACGGGUGCGUAACACGUGGGAAUCUGCCCUUCGGUUCGGAAUAACAGUUAGAAAUGACUGCUAAUACCGGAUGAUGACGUAAGUCCAAAGAUUUAUCGCCGAAGGAUGAGCCCGCGUAGGAUUAGGUAGUUGGUAGGGUAAUGGCCUACCAAGCCGACGAUCCUUAGCUGGUCUGAGAGGAUGAUCAGCCACACUGGGACUGAGACACGGCCCAGACUCCUACGGGAGGCAGCAGUGGGGAAUAUUGGACAAUGGGCGGAAAGGACCUCGAUCCAGCAAUAGCCGCGUGAGUGAUGAAGGCC
rnacentral:rRNA from 1 species